rnacentral:rRNA from 1 species
GACGAACGCUGGCGGCGUGCUUAACACAUGCAAGUCGAACGGAAAGGCCCUGCUUUUGUGGGGUGCUCGAGUGGCGAACGGGUGAGUAACACGUGAGUAACCUGCCCUUGACUUUGGGAUAACUUCAGGAAACUGGGGCUAAUGCCGGAUAGGAGCUCCUGCUGCAUGGUGGGGGUUGGAAAGUUUCGGCGGUUGGGGAUGGACUCGCGGCUUAUCAGCUUGUUGGUGGGGUAGUGGCUUACCAAGGCUUUGACGGGUAGCCGGCCUGAGGGGGUGACCGGCCACAUUGGGACUGAGAUACGGCCCAGACUCCUACGGGAGGCAGCAGUGGGGAAUAUUGCACAAUGGGCGGAAGCCUGAUGCAGCAACGCCGCGUGCGGGAUGACGGCCUUCGGGUUGUAAACCGCUUUCGCCUGUGACGAAGCGUGAGUGACGGUAAUGGGUAAAGAAGCGCCGGCUAACUACGUG